GUUGUCGUGGGCGAGUGGGUAAGGCGAUAAAAUAGAAAUCUUUUAGGAUUUUCCCGCGCAGGUUCGAUUCCUGCCGACAUCG
rnacentral:tRNA from 1 species